CCUACGGGCGGCAGCAGUGUGGAAUAUUGCACAAUGGGGGAAACCCUGAUGCAGCGACGCCGCGUGAAGGAAGAAGUAUUUCGGUAUGUAAACUUCUAUCAGCAGGGAAGAAAAUGACGGUACCUGACUAAGACGCCCCGGCUAACUACGUGCCAGCAGCCGCGGUACUACGUAGGGGGCAAGCGUUAUCCGGAUUUACUGGGUGUAAGGGGAGCGUAGGCGGCGAUGCAAGUCAGAAGUGAAAGCCCGGGGCUCAACUCCGGGACUGCUUUUGAAACUGUGUUGCUAGAUUGCAGGAGAGGUAAGUGGAAUUCCUAGUGUAGCGGUGAAAUGCGUAGAUAUUAGGAGGAACACCAGUGGCGAAGGCGGCUUACUGGACUGUAAAUGACGCUGAGGCUCGAAAGCGUGGGGAGCAAACAGGAUUAGAUACCCCUGUAGUC
rnacentral:rRNA from 1 species